AAAGUUGCUAUUGCAAUUGUUGUCUUACCCAUUCCUCCCAUCCCAUAAAUCUAUUAUAUGUACUCCAUCAUCAUAUGGAUCCACUCUUGUCUUAUGAUAAUAGAGUCGCAUGAUAGGAAUCUUGGAUCGGAGGAUUAGGUAAAACAACUAUUGCAUUAGGCUUU
rnacentral:pre_miRNA from 1 species